rnacentral:rRNA from 1 species
UACGUAGGGUGCAAGCGUUAUCCGGAAUCACUGGGCGUAAAGCGUGCGUAGGUGGAUGUUUAAGUGAGAUGUUAAAUCGUGUGGCUCAACCAUAUCGAUGCAUCUCAUACUGGGCAUCUAGUGAACAGCAGAGGCAAGUGGAAUUGGUAGUGUAGCAGUGAAAUGCAUAGAUAUUACCAGGAACACCAAUGGCGAAGGCAGCUUGCUGGGCUACUCCUGACACUGAGAUACGAAAGCGUGGGGAGCGAACAGG